CCGAGGCAGGGCUUUGGCUACUGGAGAUCGUAGGUUCGAAUCCCGUCUGGGAAGUUCAACUUGUGCACCUGUAAAAGAAGCUGGCAUUAUUGGCUUGUACUCAAGGGCUGGCACAGAGUGUGUCGCUUUCAGAUUGAGAGAUGAUGAAAAUGGGGUGCGGACGCCCCAGCCACGCCCAUCAUCCGUGCGGAAGAUGCAGAGGUCAUAUCGGAUACCCUUCUGUACCACACGAUUUGGGCAGUCAUAGCCGCAGCGGCAGCGGGAGUUGCACUCGUAGAUGGGCAGCCCGGCUCGAAGCCGCACCUGGCCCUGGUCAUUGUAGGCAAACUUGUGCAGUGACGCCCCCGGGCAGCAGCCUCCAGUGGGUGCCCACAGACAGUCCUGGCACUCGCAGCCCACAGCCACCUGGUUGAGGGUGAUGCCCUCACCAACACGGUACUCAUUGAUGUACACGAAGGCCCGCGGAGGGCCGUCCAGGUCCACCUCAUUCUCUACAGUGAUGCGUCCCAGAUGGCUGCGCUUGGCAUUGAGCUCCUGCUCCCAGCGACGGAGCGCCCGCCUCUGCUUGGCCUUCUGCACCAGGUAGUUGGCCAAGCUUGGGUCCAGGUGCCGGGGGGUCUUUGACCGGUGGUGCCGCCGGAGCAGCUCCCUUUCUAAGUCCUUGUGGAACUGCUUGAGGAUACGCACACACUUGAGAUUCUGCCGUGGCUCCCAGGUGCUCUCUGAGUCUGGAUAUCCACGCCAUUUCACCAGGGUCAAAGGAGAAAAUUCCCUUUGGAAACAGAUGUGGGCAGUUGGGGACAAGAGGGCAGGACACUAACUUCCUUGUGACCUGUCCCCUCCCAGAGCAUGGUCACCCCAGACUCACGCGGAUCUUCUUGUAAUCGCACAGGUACUCGACUUCAAAGUCAUAGAGGUUCCUCUUAGAGAUACCGAGGGCAGGGCAGGAGAG
rnacentral:lncRNA from 1 species